GAGAGGGUGAUCGGCCACAUUGGAACUGAGACACGGUCCAAACUCCUACGGGAGGCAGCAGGGGGGAAUAUUGCACAAUGGGCGAAAGCCUGAUGCAGCAACGCCGCGGGAGUGAUGAAGGCCUUCGGGUCGUAAAACUCUGUCCUCAAGGAAGAUAAUGACGGUACUUGAGGAGGAAGCCCCGGCUAACUACGUGCCAGCAGCCGCGGUAAUACGUAGGGGGCUAGCGUUAUCCGGAUUUACUGGGCGUAAAGGGUGCGUAGGCGGUCUUUCAAGUCAGGAGUGAAAGGCUACGGCUCAACCGUAGUAAGCUCUUGAAACUGGGAGACUUGAGUGCAGGAGAGGAGAGUGGAAUUCCUAGUGUAGCGGUGAAAUGCGUAGAUAUUAGGAGGAACACCAGUUGCGAAGGCGGCUCUCUGGACUGU
rnacentral:rRNA from 1 species